UACGUAGGGUGCAAGCGUUGUCCGGAAUUAUUGGGCGUAAAGAGCUCGUAGGCGGUCUGUAGCGUCUGCUGUGAAAACUCAGGGCUUAACCCUGAGCUUGCAGUGGGUACGGGCAGACUAGAGUGCGGUAGGGGAGACUGGAAUUCCUGGUGUAGCGGUGAAAUGCGCAGAUAUCGGGAGGAACACCCGUAGCGAAGGCGGCACUCUGGGCCGGUACUGACGCUGAGGAGCGAAAGCGUGGGGAGCAAACAGG
rnacentral:rRNA from 1 species